UGGGGAAUAUUGGACAAUGGGGGAAACCCUGAUCCAGCGAUGCCGCGUGAGUGAAGAAGGCCUUCGGGUUGUAAAGCUCUUUCAAGAGGGAAGAUAAUGACGGUACCUCUAUAAGAAGCACCGGCUAACUUCGUGCCAGCAGCCGCGGUAAUACGAAGGGUGCAAGCGUUGUUCGGAAUUACUGGGCGUAAAGAGCGCGUAGGCGGUUUAUUAAGUCAGACGUGAAAGCCCUGGGCUCAACCCGGGAAUUGCGUUUGAUACUGGUAGGCUUGAGAUUCAGAGAGGUGAGUGGAAUUCCUAGUGUAGCAGUGAAAUGCGUAGAUAUUAGGAGGAACAUCAGUGGCGAAGGCGGCUCACUGGCUGAACACUGACGCUAAGGCGCGAAAGCGUGGGGAGCAAA
rnacentral:rRNA from 1 species